UGAUUAGUGACUUCAGCAGCGUCGGGUAUGCACAAGUAAUUCUUGAUGGGCCAUCGGUGGUAAUUGUAUUAUAGGUAUAUGAGUCUUGCAAAGACAGCGGAGAUGCCCUGAGGCAAGGUGGAUCCAGAGGAGACAAAGAGGAAACACAAUAAAUUAGUUCUGUAGUAUUCUGACAAUGCAAAUUCCGAAAUUUGAUUUCAGUAAGCUGAAUAACGGGAAGAAUGGGUUUACACAUGAAGAAGCAUCCCCAAUUUCUGAUAAAAUUGUAUUUGAUAAGGUAAAGCAGGGUUUAGGAGGUAGAGUUCGUCUGAUUUUGUCUGGAGCAGCACCUUUAUCUGCACAUCUGGAAGGUUACUUACGGGUGGCGACUUGCUGUCAUGUCCUAUGAGGAUAUGGAAGCUGCAAGCAAUGAUAAUGGAAAAGCACCACAUUCAUAAGUUAUUUGUGGUCACUCCAUUGCUUUGUGCUUAGUUGGCCUUGGCACAAAACUUUUCCUUUUUUCCAAAAGCCUCAUCCCAGAUCAAAGAUAAGGCCACUGGUGGACCUGAUAAAGGAUAUUAUAAAAGAGAGUAAUAUAGUUUAUUCUUGGCACGAUUUUAUAUCUAAAAUGAUGCACGUGCUUUUCUAGAAGAGAUCCCGUGUUUGCUUUUGAUGUUCAAACCCCAAAAAAUAUUCAAGCUGCUCUUUACGCUAAGUGGUUUGGUUCUUUCAUUCUUCUCGAAGCUAGUCGAUGGAUCUGUUGGUGCAAGCGAGUCAGUAAACUUGGGUGGUUAUGGAGGGAAACUUGUUUUAAAGAAUAUGAAAUAUAAGACCAUGGACGACGGUACAAUUAAAAAAGGUUUGACACCUAAGAACAUUACAGCGUGUGCAUCCCCUUUUUCACAUGAGAAGACGACACCCGGAAGGAGUCCAAGCACUAAAAGAAAAGGAUUGCCCAAAUUAUGGUCAGUUCACUGUAUUUCAUUGGGGAGUUUUUAUAAAACAUUUUGGUAUAAACAGUGACCUUGAAAUCUGUCAAUCUGAUUCAAUUGACUGGUUAUUUUUGUUUUCUUUAUCUGUUCUAGAGCUGUGCUAGGUUCUUUUUACUCUAUGGACCUUUAAUUGUUUGAUUGUAUUUCUUGGAAUUUUGGUUUUUUCCUUAAAAUGUAAAAAAAAAAAAUUGUUCCUGCUGUGUC